CUGCACUCGCAGUCACUGCUUCGUCCUCUGGGUUCGGCACCGAAAAAGACCCAACCCGCCUAGCCGCCUAGCUCCCACCUAGCUACCGCCUAGCCGCCUAGAGCCCGCCUAGAAACCGCCUAGCCGCCUAGCGCCCGCCUAGAAACCGCCUAGCGACCGCCUAGCAGCCUAGCGCCCGCCUAGCCGGUUGACUGAAAGUUUGAAACCCGAAAUUGAAAAAAUUUAGCUGCAAAUUGGAGCUUGAGACUGGGAAGCCGAAGCAGUGAAGCACAAGUCAGGUCCAUAGAAGAAGGGAUGACAACUCCUCCCAGAGUUUGCUUGGUUCUUUUCUCAUUUCUGUCACACCUGCUCUUGAAAGAGCCACCGAGGAAAAAUCCUUACUACUAAAUAAGGGAAAAUUGGAUUCAAACAACAUUUCCUAUUGGAUCACUUCACAAACUUUUUUAAACAUUAAAUUACUGUUACCUUUUUGUAUAUAAUCUGCAGAUUCGAGACAUAAAUGGAGUAUCAAGACAGGAGGUGGAUGAAAUUAUCAAUAUGUUUGCUCGGCAAGUUUGUGUUUCAUCAUCUGACAAUAUUCAGAAAAGUGAAAUUUCUUACAUCAAUCAGCUCACUAAACCACAGCAGGCACCCACUUCCUCCAUCCCUGGUAUCAAAGUUUGCAAAAGCUGUGCAGGAGCAGUUCUUCAUGCACAACAUCUCACAUUCCUUGAGUUCCAUACUUCUGUUAAACCCAGAUUCAUCAUUUGCAGAAGAUCCAUCAUUUGCAGUCCGUUUUGUUCACUCUUAAGGUACAGCUUCUGUGGGCUGCAUCAAGAAAGUACAACUUCGAUCUUCAUGUUUUAGAGUCUAAAGCACAAGAUGCUGAGGAUAGACUCGAAACGGUUGCCUCUUAGGCUCAAAAGGUCAUGCACUGAUGUACUCAAUCCAUCUAUGGUCUAUAGCUAUGAGUGUGUGGUGUUCAUUUUGCCAUUGGCUUCUUGCUCUUUGCUUUAAGAUGGCUGACAUUGUUACAGAACAAUGGAUUCAAAUUCAGCAGCUUGAGCAGGCUCUUCAUAGGUACCACAUAUGUCUUUCAUGAUUCAAUU